rnacentral:rRNA from 1 species
UACGAAGGGGGCUAGCGUUGCUCGGAAUCACUGGGCGUAAAGCGCACGUAGGCGGCUUUCUAAGUCAGGGGUGAAAUCCUGGAGCUCAACUCCAGAACUGCCUUUGAUACUGGAGAGCUUGAGUCCGGAAGAGGUGAGUGGAACUCCGAGUGUAGAGAUGAAAUUCGUAGAUAUUCGGAAGAACACCAGUGGCGAAGGCGGCUCACUGGUCCGGUACUGACGCUGAUGUGCGAAAGCGUGGGGAGCAAACAGG